UUAUGUAUAGCUCAGUGGUAGAGCUCAUGCUUAGCAUGCACAAGGUCCUGGGUUCAAUCCCCAGUACAGUAC
rnacentral:tRNA from 1 species